rnacentral:rRNA from 1 species
GAUGAACGCUGGCGGCGUGCCUAAUACAUGCAAGUAGAACGCUGAAGGAGGAGCUUGCUCUUCUGGAUGAGUUGCGAACGGGUGAGUAACGCGUAGGUAACCUGCCUGGUAGCGGGGGAUAACUAUUGGAAACGAUAGCUAAUACCGCAUGACAACAGUUCUUGCAUGAUAACUGUUUAAAAGGGGCAACUGCUCCACUACCAGAUGGACCUGCGUUGUAUUAGCUAGUUGGUGAGGUAACGGCUCACCAAGGCGACGAUACAUAGCCGACCUGAGAGGGUGAUCGGCCACCCUGGGAAUGAGACACGGCCCAGACUCCUACGGGAGGCCGCAGUAGGGAAUCUUCGGCAAUGGACGGAAGGCUGACCGAGCAACGCCGCGUGAGUGAAGAAGGGUUUCGGAUCGUAAAGCUCUGUUGUAAGAGAAGAACGAGUGUGAGAGUGGAAAGUUCACACUGUGACGGUAUCUGAACAGAAAGGGACGGCUAACUACGUG